rnacentral:tRNA from 6 species
GCGGUGGUGGCGGAAUUGGUAGACGCGCUAGCUUCAGGUGCUAGUGUCCGUUAGGACGUGAGGGUUCAAGUCCCUCUCUCCGCACCA